AGGAGCCAUAUUUUGCCAUUGUGGUUGCAUGAUGGCCUGCAAGGAUCCUGUCUAAGGACCCUCUCCGUGGAGACUGGGCCUCUCCGAAUUGUGUCUCGUGCACCAACUUGACUCAAAGGCCUUCCUUUCUCCCCGCGGCCACCAUGGAGACCCUCCCC